rnacentral:rRNA from 1 species
UACGAGGGGUGCAAGCGUUGCUCGGAAUUAUUGGGCGUAAAGGGUAGGUAGGUGGUCUCAUUUGUCUAGGGUGAAAGCCUUGAGCUUAACUCAAGAAGUGCCCUAGAAACGGUGAGACUGGAGUCUUGGAGAGGGUCGUGGAAUUUCCGGUGGAGCGGUGAAAUGCGUAGAGAUCGGAAAGAACACCAACGGCGAAAGCACUCUGCUGGGCCGACACUGACACUGAGAGACGAAAGCUAGGGGAGCGAAUGGG